ACUGAGCCAAGAAGAAAAUUAAUGAAUGAAUGAAUUAAAAACAACAUUUCACAGUCAACAUUUUAGGAUUCAUUUAUAACAAUUCAGAAUUUGCUCUCCCUCUCUUUGCACACACACACGCACGCACGCACGCACGCACGCACAAAAUUAAUGAUAAAAGUAGAAAAUUUAAUUAAAGUGAUGAUAAUAUUUAAAUAAUAAGAAAAUAAAUACAUGUUUCUCUCUCGUUUCGCAAACACACACACUCUCGCGCUCUCCCUCUCGCACAAACACACACACACACUCUCUCCCUGCACAUAGACACACUCAGUCUCUCUCGACAAACACACACCUUCUCUCCACACAGACACACACACUCACAGUCUCUCCCAUUCUCUUUUACUCCAAACACACACUCCCUCUCCCUGCACACACACAAACACACUCUCCUUGAACAGACAGUUCAUAGACACACGCUCACUCUCCGUCUUUCUCUAAACACACACCUCUCCACACAGAUACGCAAAUUCACUCUUCGCCUUUCUCCAAACACACACACACUCCAUCUCUUACUCAACACAUAUUCUCUCUAUAUGUCUCUCUCCACACACACUCUCUUUCUCUAUAUCUGUCACACACACACUCACACUCCACACGCUCCAUCUCUCUCUCUCUCUCUUUGCACACACACUCUCCGUCUCUCCCUGUGCAGACUUUCUACACACUUUCUCUAUCUCGAUCUCUCUCCAAGCACGGACACACUCUUUCGCUAUCUCCAUCUCUCUCCACAUACACACACUCUCUCUCUAUCUCUCUCUCUCUCACACACACACACACACACACACACACACACACACACAGAGAGAGAGAGAGAGGGGAGAAAGAGAGACAGGAGAGUUGACGGGAGGUAAUCCCUCCAUGUGAGGAGGCGGCCCGGCCGGCGGUGGAGGCGUGUUGCUCCUCAUUCAAAUCCUUACUAGAGCUAUAAAAGCGAGAGACUGCGCUGGAGAAGAGAGAGAGAAACACACACACAGAGAGAGACAGAGAGAGAGCAGCAGAGCGCGCGUGUGUGUGUGUGAGAGAGAGUGUGUGUGUGCGCCAGUACCUGUGCGCGCGCGGGAUGGAGAUGCUGCAGGGCUCCGCAGGUGUGCAGUCUGCGCUGAAGAACGCGGCGGUGUGUGUGCUGCUGCUCCCGCGCUUUCUGCUCGCCGCGCUGAUGCUCUGCCUGCUGGACUUCCUGUGCAUCCGCCGGAAGCUGCUGCUGAAGAUGCAGGAGGGCGCGUUCAGCAGCCCCGACGACCCUCCGCUGCGCGUGUCCGACAGCAACAAGAUGUUCACGCUGGAGUCGCUGCGCGCGGUCUGGUACGGCCAGAAGCUGGACUUCUUCAAGAGCGCGCGGCUCGGCGGAGCGGCGCCCAACACCGAGGUGUUCCCGCUGGACGGAGACGCGCGCGCGGCAGAGCGCAUCCUGGAUUACGCGCGCGGCCGGAGACCGCUGAUCCUCAACUUCGGCAGCUGCUCCUGACCGCCCUUCAUGACCCGUCUGAGCGCCUUCCAGCGCGUCGCGCGGCAGUACGCGGACAUCGCGGACUCUCUGCUGGUGUACAUCGAGGAGGCGCACCCGUCCGACGGCUGGGUGAGCUCCGACGCGCCCGUGCAGAUCCCGCGGCACCGCUGCCUGGAGGACCGGCUCCGCGCCGCGCAGAUGCUGCACCGGGAGGCGGCGGGCAGCGCGGUGGUCGUGGACUCCAUGCAGAACUCCUGCAACGCGGCGUACGGCGCGUAUUUCGAGCGGCUGUACAUCGUAAAGGACGCGACGGUGGUGUACCAAGGCGGCCGCGGACCCGAGGGGUACCGGAUCGCGGAGCUCAGAGACUGGCUGGAGCGCUACAGGAGCGGCCUGCAGGAGUCCGCGGUGCUGCACGUCUAGGAGACCCAUACACUGAGUGAUUGAGUGAUUGAUUGAGUGAGUGAGUGAUUAAUUGAUUGAGUGUUUUACUUCUCCUCAUCAUUGGCUGUGUUUCAAAACCGACAGACGCUUUUUCCUCUCUUCAUGGAGAUCUCGGAGCUGUUUCUUCACAAGUUUCAAUGGUGCGUCGAGAAUGGUGGCUGGUUAGAGCGGCAGAAAUCAGCUGCGUCUGAUGAACAGCAAUGCUUCUGGGUUCUCAAACUCUCCUAAAACAGGGUUCACGAGCGCCAUGGCUCAGUGGAGAAGCUCCUGAAAAGGAGGUUUUGAACACAGCCUUGAUCAGAUCAGAUCUUCAUAUGCUGCUACAGACUGCGUUUAUUUUGAUGCAUAAACAGUUAUCUGGACAGAUGUUUACGUGACCGCAUGAUAGCUGUUGUGCUUUUUCUCCUCUCUAUUCCUGUUUUAUGUCCAAACAACCUGGCAUUUCAUUUCAGAAUACUGCAAAAGAAGAAAAGAUAUAUCUGUGUAUCAAUCGGAGACAUAUCCUAUUUUAUUUUUGUAUGGUACUCUUCCUUUGUGAACGUGUGUGUGUGUGUGUGUGUGUGUGUGUGUAUGUGUGCGGCCAGGAGGCUGUUUCAUUGUACUCUGGAGUUAUUGUGAAGAUCGGUUUUUAAAAGGAUUUUAACCAGAAAACCGAUACUGAUGUAAUUUGACACUAGAGUACAGGACAGAGGAACGGCCUCCAGACGUGUUGCCAAAUGUUGUUGUUUUUUUGUAAAUGGUGUAUAUUUUAUUCAACACUUUUUAUAAAUAAAUGGUAGAGCACCCUCGA
ensembl:processed_transcript dio3b iodothyronine deiodinase 3b